rnacentral:sRNA from 1 species
UAAAAACCCAAGGUAGAAUACCAUUUGAAAUACAAACGCCGGCAGACCAACUAAAUGUCUCCAAAAACUAAGCCCAAAAGAGGAAAACUAAGCCUCAACGGAACGGAGAAACUAUUUAGACCAACGAAGAAAACAAAAGACAAAUAUCUAAAAAAGAUCAACCGUUAAGGGAAAACGAAGAUCUAAGCACUAAAAUUGCGCAAAAGAACCAGGAACCCUCACAAAGCUUCCCCAAAGAAACGGAAAACGUCGGAAACACCAAUAAGAUCGGAAAGAACUCACAUCGAAGUCAAACCACUAGCAAUCCGACAGGGAGGAAAGCAAGAAGCCACCAGAGCGAGAGACACAACUACUAAUCAAA